GACGAACGCUGGCGGCGUGCUUAACACAUGCAAGUCGAACGGAAAGGCCCUGCUUUUGUGGGGUGCUCGAGUGGCGAACGGGUGAGUAACACGUGAGUAACCUGCCCUUGACUUUGGGAUAACUUCAGGAAACUGGGGCUAAUACCGGAUAGGAGCUCCUGCUGCAUGGUGGGGGUUGGAAAGUUUCGGCGGUUGGGGAUGGACUCGCGGCUUAUCAGCUUGUUGGUGGGGUAGUGGCUUACCAAGGCUUUGACGGGUAGCCGGCCUGAGAGGGUGACCGGCAAAAUGGGGAGUGAGAUACGGCCCAGACUCCAACGGGGGGCAGAAGGGGGGAAUAUUGAACAAGGGGCGGAAGCCGGAUGCAGAAAGGCCGGGUGGGGGAUGAGGGCCUUCGGGUGGGAAACCGCUUUCGCGUGUGACGAAGCGGGAGUGAGGGUAAUGGGAAAGGAAGCACGGGCUAACUACGU
rnacentral:rRNA from 1 species